rnacentral:ncRNA from 1 species
UGACCUCGGAUCAGGUAGGAGUUACCCGCUGAACUUAAGCAUAUCAAUAAGCGGAGGAAAAGAAACCAACCGGGAUUGCCUCAGUAACGGCGAGUGAAGCGGCAAGAGCUCAAAUUUGAAAUCUGGCCCCUUUGGGGUCCGAGUUGUAAUUUGCAGAGGAUGCUUCGGGUGCGGUCCCCAUCUAAGUGCCCUGGAACGGGCCGUCAUAGAGGGUGAGAAUCCCGUCUGGGAUGGGCGGCCGCGCCCGUGUGAAGCUCCUUCGACGAGUCGAGUUGUUUGGGAAUGCAGCUCUAAGCGGGUGGUAAAUUUCAUCUAAAGCUAAAUACUGGCCGGAGACCGAUAGCGCACAAGUAGAGUGAUCGAAAGAUGAAAAGCACUUUGAAAAGAGAGUUAAACAGCACGUGAAAUUGUUGAAAGGGAAGCGUUGUCCACCAGACUCGCCCGGGGGGGCUCAGCCGGCACGUGUGCCGGUGUACUCCUCUCCGGGCGGGCCAGCAUCGGUUUGGGCGGCUGGUGAAAGGCCCCGGGAAUGUAACACCCUCCGGGGUGCCUUAUAGCCCGGGGUGCCAUGCAGCCAGCCUGGACCGAGGCCCGCGCUUCGGCGAGGAUGCUGGCGUAAUGGUGGUCAACGGCCCGUCUUGAAACACGGACCAAGGAGUCUAACAUCUAUGCGAGUGUUCGGGUGUCAAACCCGUCCGCGCAGUGAAAGCGAACGGAGGUGGGAGCCCCUCGGGGCGCACCAUCGACCGAUCCUGAUGUCUUCGGAUGGAUUUGAGUAAGAGCAUAGCUGUUGGGACCCGAAAGAUGGUGAACUAUGCCUGAAUAGGGCGAAGCCAGAGGAAACUCUGGUGGAGGCUCGCAGCGGUUCUGACGUGCAAUCGAUCGUCAAUU